AUUCUUUCUCAUCGGUUUAUACAAAUGAUGAUUGGUCUGAUCACGUGUUUGCGUGAAAUGUGCAACCAUCUGUUACGAUUCAGCACAUUGACCUUCUGAUC